CACGUAGGGUGCGAGCGUUGUCCGGAAUUAUUGGGCGUAAAGAGCUCGUAGGCGGUGUGUCGCGUCGGCCGUGAAAACCUGCAGCUUAACUGUGGGCUUGCGGUCGAUACGGGCAUCACUGGAGUUCGGCAGGGGAGACUGGAAUUCCCGGUGUAGCGGUGAAAUGCGCAGAUAUCGGGAAGAACACCCGUGGCGAAGGCGGUUCUCUGGGACGGUACUGACGCUGAGACGCGAAAGCGUGGGGAGCGAACAGG
rnacentral:rRNA from 1 species